rnacentral:rRNA from 1 species
UGGGGAAUUUUGGACAACGGGCGAAAGCCUGAUCCAGCAAUGCCGCGUGUGUGAAGAAGGCCUUCGGGUUGUAAAGCACUUUUGUCCGGAAAGAAAUCCUUGGCUCUAAUACAGUCGGGGGAUGACGGUACCGGAAGAAUAAGCACCGGCUAACUACGUGCCAGCAGCCGCGGUAAUACGUAGGGUGCAAGCGUUAAUCGGAAUUACUGGGCGUAAAGCGUGCGCAGGCGGUUUGCUAAGACCGAUGUGAAAUCCCCGGGCUCAACCUGGGAACUGCAUUGGUGACUGGCAGGCUAGAGUAUGGCAGAGGGGGGUAGAAUUCCACGUGUAGCAGUGAAAUGCGUAGAGAUGUGGAGGAAUACCGAUGGCGAAGGCAGCCCCCUGGGCCAAUACUGACGCUCAUGCACGAAAGCGUGGGGAGCAAACAGGAUUAGAUACCCUGGUAGUCCACGCCCUAAACGAUGUCAACUAGUUGUUGGGAUUCAUUCCUUAGUAACGUAGCUAACGCGUGAAGUUGACCGCCUGGGGAGUACGGUCG